rnacentral:rRNA from 1 species
UACGGGGGGGGCAAGCGUUGUUCGGAAUUACUGGGCGUAAAGCGUGCGCAGGCGGUUAUGUAAGACAGUUGUGAAAUCCCCGGGCUCAACCUGGGAACUGCAUCUGUGACUGCAUAGCUAGAGUACGGUAGAGGGGGAUGGAAUUCCGCGUGUAGCAGUGAAAUGCGUAGAUAUGCGGAGGAACACCGAUGGCGAAGGCAAUCCCCUGGACCUGUACUGACGCUCAUGCACGAAAGCGUGGGGAGCAAACAGG